rnacentral:rRNA from 1 species
GCCUACACGAAGCUGGAAUCGCUAGUAAUCGCGGAUCAGCACGCCGCGGUGAAUACGUUCCCGGGCCUUGUACACACCGCCCGUCACACCAUGAGAGUCUGUAACACCCAAAGCCGGUGGGAUAACCUUUAUAGGAGUCAGCCGUCUAAGGUAGGACAGAUGAUUAGGGUGAAGUCGUAACAAGGUAUC